rnacentral:tRNA from 1 species
GGUUCACGUAGUGGGACGUGCCACGAGCGGGGCUAUCGACUACGCGAACCCGCUUGCGGUGUCGUUCGAUGAGUUCUACACCUUCGUGUAUCCC